rnacentral:rRNA from 1 species
AUGCAAGUCGAACGGAGAUCUUGAAGAGCUUGCUAAUUAAGAUCUUACCCCCUUAGACGGGUUAGUAACACGGGAGAACCUACCCUUUAGACAGGAAUAGGCCAUGGAAACGUGGAUUAAUGCCUGAUAGUUCUCUACGCGAGUAAAUGGUGCCUUCGGGUAUCGCUAGAGGAUGGGCUCGCGGGCUAUCAGCUUGGUGGUGAGGUAAAGGCUCGCCAAGGCGACUACGGGUAGCUGGUCUGAGAGGACGAUCAGCAACACUGGAACUGAGACACGGUNCAGACACCUACGGGUGGCAGCAGUCGAGAAUCAUUCACGAUGGAGGCAACUCUGAUGGUGCAACGCCGCGUGGAGGAUGACGGUCCUAGGAUUGUAAACUCCUGUCAUUGGGGAGUAAGACUUAAGCGUUAAGAGCGUUUAAGUUUGAUAGUACCCAAAGAGGAAGGGACGGCUAACUUCGUGCCAGCAGCCGCGGUAAUACGAAGGUCCCAAGCGUUGUUCGG